rnacentral:misc_RNA from 1 species
GCAAACUUGGUCAUUUAGAGGAAGUAAAAGUCGUAACAAGGUUUCCGUAGGUGAACCUGCGGAAGGAUCAUUACCAAUGCUUAACCGCAUCGCGCCUUCGGGUGCACCCUAAAACCGUCCUUUGCGCUUGGCUCCGGCCGGUGCAAAGGACGCUUAUUAUAAACGCCUUUAAAACCUUGCCUGAAACACUUAUUUCUUUUUGAAAUAAAAAUUUUUAAUACAAAAUACAACUUUUAACAACGGAUCUCUUGGCUCUCCCAUCGAUGAAGAACGCAGC